CGGUAGCACAGAGAGGCUUGCUCUCGGGUGACGAGCGGCGGACGGGUUGAGUAAUGUCUGGGAAACUGCCUGAUGGAGGGGGAUAACUACUGGAAACGGUAGCUAAUACCGCAUAAUGUCGCAAGACCAAAGUGGGGGACCUUCGGGCCUCAUGCCAUCAGAUGUGCCCAGAUGGGAUUAGCUUGUAGGUGGGGUAACGGCUCACCUAGGCGACGAUCCCUAGCUGGUCUGAGAGGAUGACCAGCCACACUGGAACUGAGACACGGUCCAGACUCCUACGGGAGGCAGCAGUGGGGAAUAUUGCACAAUGGGCGCAAGCCUGAUGCAGCCAUGCCGCGUGUGUGAAGAAGGCCUUCGGGUUGUAAAGCACUUUCAGCGGGGAGGAAGGCGGUGAGGUUAAUAACCUCAUCGAUUGACGUUACCCGCAGAAGAAGCACCGGCUAACUCCGUGCCAGCAGCCGCGGUAAUACGGAGGGUGCAAGCGUUAAUCGGAAUUACUGGGCGUAAAGCGCACGCAGGCGGUCUGUCAAGUCGGAUGUGAAAUCCCCGGGCUCAACCUGGGAACUGCAUUCGAAACUGGCAGGCUAGAGUCUUGUAGAGGGGGGUAGAAUUCCAGGUGUAGCGGUGAAAUGCGUAGAGAUCUGGAGGAAUACCGGUGGCGAAGGCGGCCCCCUGGACAAAGACUGACGCUCAGGUGCGAAAGCGUGGGGAGCAAACAGGAUUAGAUACCCUGGUAGUCCACGCCGUAAACGAUGUCGAUUUGGAGGUUGUGCCCUUGAGGCGUGGCUUCCGGAGCUAACGCGUUAAAUCGACCGCCUGGGGAGUACGGCCGCAAGGUUAAAACUCAAAUGAAUUGACGGGGGCCCGCACAAGCGGUGGAGCAUGUGGUUUAAUUCGAUGCAACGCGAAGAACCUUACCUGGUCUUGACAUCCACAGAACUUAGCAGAGAUGCUUUGGUGCCUUCGGGAACUGUGAGACAGGUGCUGCAUGGCUGUCGUCAGCUCGUGUUGUGAAAUGUUGGGUUAAGUCCCGCAACGAGCGCAACCCUUAUCCUUUGUUGCCAGCGGUCCGGCCGGGAACUCAAAGGAGACUGCCAGUGAUAAACUGGAGGAAGGUGGGGAUGACGUCAAGUCAUCAUGGCCCUUACGACCAGGGCUACACACGUGCUACAAUGGCAUAUACAAAGAGAAGCGACCUCGCGAGAGCAAGCGGACCUCAUAAAGUAUGUCGUAGUCCGGAUUGGAGUCUGCAACUCGACUCCAUGAAGUCGGAAUCGCUAGUAAUCGUAGAUCAGAAUGCUACGGUGAAUACGUUCCCGGGCCUUGUACACACCGCCCGUCACACCAUGGGAGUGGGUUGCAAAAGAAGUAGGUAGCUUAACCUUCGGGAGGGCGCUUACCACUUUGUGAUUCAUGACUGGGGUGAAGUCGUAACAAGGUAACCGUAGGGGAACCUGCGGUUGGAUCACCUCCUUACCUUAAAGAA
rnacentral:rRNA from 1 species